rnacentral:piRNA from 1 species
UAUAUCACUAUUGAUCCUGGGAGCUGACU